rnacentral:lncRNA from 1 species
AUAGGUUUAAUCAAAGGAGAUCAGAAUUCUUGCCAACAAUGGCAACUUUAGUACUAACUCUAUGGUGGUGUUCAUGUGUCUCUUCUUGCAUACUUGGAUAUAGUUAUGGUUACUGAACUUGUAUUUUCAUGGUAGUGGUUAUAUUUUUAAAAACACAAUAUAGGGAAUCAUCAAGAAAUGUAUGUUGUUAUAUAAAUAAAGGCUCUAGAAACUGAGCCCUUACCAAAUUAUAAGAAUCAGGAGAUGAAGGGAGCAAAAAAGGUAGAAGGAAAAGUGGCAACAAGGUAUAAUGCAGGAGCCCAAUAGAAAGGGAGCACUUGGUCCAGUGUUACAGGUAAUUCAAGUAAGACCAGAAUUGACACAUGAUACUGGAUUUAGUCAUGGGAAAAUAUUUGUUGUCGUUAGUUUAGUUAUGGAAUGGUGGGGGUGAAAACCUGACUGGUAUUAAAUAGAGUUAGAGGAAAGGGAGAUGGCAACUUCACAUUUGCCAGUGUUCUUCCAAUAGAAUGGAAGGAGGAAUGAGAGAAUGUGUAUGGAAGUUAUUGGGCAAAGAAACUAUUUUCCUCACAACUACCAUUUUCUUAGGAUAUUAAUUCUUUAUAUACCAUAGGUCAUACAAGCAGAUAAAUCCUAUAAUUUAUAUUCUGAAAUUUAUUUUUGUCUUCUCAAGCCUAAUGGUGGCAUUCCACAUGAUAACCUUGUUCUAAUCAAAAUGAAACCUGAUGAAAAUGGAAGGUUUGGAUUCAAUGUAAAGGUAAUCCAGAACGAAUGUCAUAUUUAGUUUUUAUAUUACAAUGUUCUUCAUUUGGUAGUAUUUGAUGUUUUAUUUUACUAUUUUCCAGGGAGGAUAUGAUCAGAAGAUGCCUGUAAUUGUUUCCCGGGUAGCACCAGGAACACCUGUAAGUUAUCCCACAUUUUAUCUAAUCGUGUUUCUAAGAAUAUAUACUUAAGGGUCAGGUGUGAUGCUUACCUACCUUUAAUCCCAGCACUUAGGAGGCAGAAGCAGGCAGAUCUCGGUGAGUUCAUGCCUAGCUCUGUCUACAAAGAGAGUUCUAAGUUCUAGACCACCUAGAACUACAAACAACAACAAAAGCCAAAAACUAAUAUAUACUUUGUAAAAUGUUUUUGUGUGUAUGAAUGCUUUGUUUGUAUGUCUCUGUGCACUGUGUGUGACCCUCAGAGCUCAGAAUGCAGUGUUGCAUCCCCAUGAAACUUGAGGUUUGGGCAGUUGUGAGCCGCUGUAUGGCCCCUGAGAUUCAAACUUGGGUCCUCUACAAGAACAGUAAGUGCUCUUAACUGCCAAGCCAUCUCUUCAACUCCAUUUGUACUUUAAAAAAAUUAGUUUGGCAUAUAUUUUGCCUCCCUGUAUGUAUCUAUCUAUACUACACUUGUGCCUAUUGCCUGAGGAGACUGGAAGAUGGCAUUGGAUCCCUUAGUACUAGAACAAGAGCAACCAGUGCUCUCAACCACUGAACUAUUUCUUCAUCCCCAGAAUCUGUACUUUUAAAAAAACAAAGCAACAAUAACAAAAAACCAUUGAGAUGGAGUGGCAGUUAAGAACACUGGUUGUUCAAUUCUCAGAACCCACAUGGUGGUAGCUCAAAGCUCCAUUUAACUCCAGUUCCAAGGAGUCCAAUAGUCUCUACAAGUUAUCAGGCAUUUUGUGGGGUACAGUCUUACAUGCAAUCAAAUCACCUAAACAUAAAAUAAAAUCAAAGCACUUUUUUGCCUAAAGGAAGAAAAGUACUACUUUUCAACUUGUCAAAUGUUAAAUCUAAGUGCUAAGUAUCACAUUGUAAGUUGCAGGGAAAGAGAAAUCUUAAUUGAAUCUACAUCUUAGAAAGAAGUAAUUACUCUGAGUGUUCCUGCAGUGCUAAAGAGUUUUGUUGAAAAAAAUCUCCUUAUUCAACAAAUGUAGAUGAAGGUGGAGUUUUAUGAGAUUUUUUUGAUAUUUUUGUUGUUGCUGUUUGCUUUUUAUUUACUUACAGUAGUUCAUUAUUUGCCUCCCCCCCUCCCCCCUGUCCCCCUUUGAGGUGAGUGGGUGGGUGGAGUUCGAAACAGGGUUUCUCUGUGUAGCCUUAGCUGUCCUGAAACUUUCUCAGUAGACCAGGCUGGAACUCACAGAGGUCCACCUGCAUCUGCCCGCCCCCAAGUGCUGUGAUUAAAGGCUUGUGCUACUACUACCUGGGUUGCCCAUACUUUCUGUUUUAAAAUUCCUUUAAAUGGGAAUGAUACAGGAUCAUUUUUAAAUUCUAAUAUGCACAUGCUAAAACAUUAAUCUAUAAUAGUGAGUCACCUGUUGCUCAUUAAUAAGCUUCUACAGUAAUGAAUUUUCUGUUAUCAUUAAAUAAUUUUUAUUGGUGUUAUCUAGAGCAUGCUAAAAUAUUAGCAGUGUUUCUCCUGAAUAAAUGGAAUUACUGAUAUGUUUCACUUUCUUUUUUCUUCCUGUUUAGUUAUCUGAAUUAUGACACUGAACAUCCUUUGCUCUUAUGAGCUAUAUCUCUUGCUGUGGUGACUUCCUCCCUUGUGCUACAUAGAACUAUGCUAUAAAAAUAUUGUGAGAUUUAGAACAUAUUGCGAUAGAACAUUGUUGGACAUAUUAAAGCAGUAGAACCUUGUCAUUUUUAGAUUACUUCAUUAAUAUAGAUACCACCACAGUCUUCCAUGUUGUGACCUUUUAAGAAAAAGAUGAUUAAAGGAAACAGUUUCUUGGUUGUUUUUGAUUGUUGGUUGGUUGGUUUUUCUGAGACAGGGUUUCUCUAUUUAGCCCUGGUUGUCCUGGAACUCACUCUAAGUAAAUCAAAGCUGGCUUGAACUCAAGAGAUCCUCCUGCUUCAGCAUGCUGAGUGCUGGGUUUUAAUGUCAGGAUUUUUUGUGUGUGUGUUUUGGGUACCUCAGAAAUGGAUAGUUCUGGGGGUGGGUGGGUAAGGGGGACUUUUGGUAUAGCAUUGGAAAUGUAAAGGAGCUAAAUACCUAAUAAAAAAUGG